GACGAACGCUGGCGGCGUGCUUAACACAUGCAAGUCGAACGGAAAGACCCUGCUUUUGUGGGGUGCUCGAGUGGCGAACGGGUGAGUAACACGUGAGUAACCUGCCCUUGACUUUGGGAUAACUUCAGGAAACUGGGGCUAAUACCGGAUAGGAGCUCCGCUGCAUGGUGGGGGUUGGAAAGUUUCGGCGGUUGGGGAUGGACUCGCGGCUUAUCAGCUUGUUGGUGGGGUAGUGGCUUACCAAGGCUUUGACGGGUAGCCGGCCUGAGAGGGUGACCGGCCACAUUGGGACUGAGAUACGGCCCAGACUCCUACGGGAGGCAGCAGUGGGGAAUAUUGCACAAUGGGCGGAAGCCUGAUGCAGCAACGCCGCGUGCGGGAUGACGGCCUUCGGGUUGUAAACCGCUUUCGCCUGUGACGAAGCGUGAGUGACGGUAAUGGGUAAAGAAGCACCGGCUAACUACGUG
rnacentral:rRNA from 1 species